AGUGAACGCUGGCGGUAGGCCUAACACAUGCAAGUCGAACGGCAGCACAGUAAGAGCUUGCUCUUACGGGUGGCGAGUGGCGGACGGGUGAGGAAUACAUCGGAAUCUACUUUUUCGUGGGGGAUAACGUAGGGAAACUUACGCUAAUACCGCAUACGACCUACGGGUGAAAGCAGGGGAUCUUCGGACCUUGCGCGAUUGAAUGAGCCGAUGUCGGAUUAGCUAGUUGGCGGGGUAAAGGCCCACCAAGGCGACGAUCCGUAGCUGGUCUGAGAGGAUGAUCAGCCACACUGGAACUGAGACACGGUCCAGACUCCUACGGGAGGCAGCAGUGGGGAAUAUUGGACAAUGGGCGCAAGCCUGAUCCAGCCAUACCGCGUGGGUGAAGAAGGCCUUCGGGUUGUAAAGCCCUUUUGUUGGGGAGGAAAAGCAGCAGGUUAAUACCCCGCUGUUCUGACGGUACCCAAAGAAUAAGCACCGGCUAACUUCGUG
rnacentral:rRNA from 1 species